ACUGUUUCAUCUGAGUCAGCAUUCAGCAUUGGUGGUAGAGUUGUGGAUCAGUAUCGAAGCUCUUUGAGCCCUUCUACCGUAGAAGCCUUAGUGUGUACCCAAGAUUGGCUUCGUGAACAAUAUGAUGAAGUUGCAAAAUGCUCGAGUUCUGUAACGUUGAAUGUAGAUGACGACACCCUGGACUCCUGGAGUGGGCAAUUUGGGAGAACUGAAUGACGUUACCCUCACCAGAUCUAGUUCAUACCUAAAGUAUCAAGUAUCAAGGAGGGAACAACGACUUCAGGCCGAUGAUUUUUUUUAUCGUCAUGUUUUUGAUGGAAUCCUUUUGUUUGGUUUCAGUUGUAUCGUUGCAGUUGGUUGCAUACUUGCAUGGAAUGAAUUUUUUUGCAAGUUAUCUUCAAACCAUCAGAUGCUAUUUUGUUAAUGAUCUGUCUGAUUGCCUACUUAGUCCAUCUCAUAUUUGAUGGAAUCCUACUUGGAUCUAACACAAUUCCAAUGACUUUUGUGGUCGUAAAUUUCUUUUGCAGAUAAUUUUUGUUGAUUUGUUCUAUUUUUGUCACUUGCCAAAAAAAGAGAGAGAAUUUUAUACUGAUGGUUUUGGGAUGUUCAUAAAUCAGGCUUGUUUCAUAGUCUUGACUGAAAUGAGAGACAAAAUGGAAAAUAAACUUUCUUUUGUUGUCCAAGCUCUUUUCUUUUUUCUUUUUAUUGCAGAUGGCUGCAUUUGUGUGCCUGUCCCUUGAUGUAGGACUUGUUCCCCUUCUAUCAUUGG